GAUUGAACGCUGGCGGCAGGCCUAACACAUGCAAGUCGAGCGGAUGAAGGGAGCUUGCUCCUGGAUUCAGCGGCGGACGGGUGAGUAAUGCCUAGGAAUCUGCCUGGUAGUGGGGGAUAACGUCCGGAAACGGGCGCUAAUACCGCAUACGCCCUGAGGGAGAAAGUGGGGGAUCUUCGGACCUCACGCUAUCAGAUGAGCCUAGGUCGGAUUAGCUAGUUGGUGGGGUAAAGGCCUACCAAGGCGACGAUCCGUAACUGGUCUGAGAGGAUGAUCAGUCACACUGGAACUGAGACACGGUCCAGACUCCUACGGGAGGCAGCAGUGGGGAAUAUUGGACAAUGGGCGAAAGCCUGAUCCAGCCAUGCCGCGUGUGUGAAGAAGGUCUUCGGAUUGUAAAGCACUUUAAGUUGGGAGGAAGGGCAGUAAGUUAAUACCUUGCUGUUUUGACGUUACCAACAGAAUAAGCACCGGCUAACUUCGUG
rnacentral:rRNA from 1 species